rnacentral:miRNA from 14 species
UGUGUUUUCUUUGGAAAUACUCAGAAGACACUAAAAUAGAAGGUAGAAAGUCUCUGGGCUGGAGAGAUGGCUCAGCCGUUAAAGGCUAGGCUCACAACCAAAAAUAUA